UUUAUCAUUCUUUAUAAUCUGGAGAUUGUCGUAUGUUACUUUUGCCGUGACUUUAUGAGUCCGGGUAUAUUGGUGUAGGAACAAACAAAUUUACUAAGCUUGGUUUAUUCUUAGUUUUAAUUUCUAUUUUUAUUUUAUAAAAAUAAUAUUUUCACUACACCUUGCUACAGCGUUUGGAUAUGGUAUUCAUCAGUACGUAUGGUUGUUAUUGUCAUAACAUGUAGGGGCGGAUCUAGGUUCAUAUAAUAAUGAAACAUAACCGGGUGCAACACAGAAAAAACUGGAUUGCUGCUAAUACAGCUUUAAGAUGCAGUGAUGCAAUGCCUAAUGAUGAUGGCUGUAGUAAUCUGUUCAAUAAUGUUUUUUAUAAUGACCGUGAACAUUCACAACCUUUACAAAAAAUCAACUUGAACCAUUGCCAGUCCUCAACAAAGUUCUUUCUUUUUAAAAGUUGCUCUUAAUGAUUGUGAUAUUGGGGAAAAUGACCGUGCUGUUUCUGGUGAAGUUGAUAUUUUGGAUGUUUCUUUUUGCCAUGGAAAAGCUGAUUUUUAGUGCAUGUGAAUGCAGUCAUUGGGGAAAGAAAGCAGAUACAAGAAGAACAUCAUCGCUUUGUUAGCCCUUUCUGUCACUUGCCUGUUGAU